CGUAGGGGCAAGCGUUGUCCGGAAUUAUUGGGCGUAAAGCGCGCGCAGGCGGUUCUUUAAGUCUGAUGUGAAAGCCCCACGGCUCAACCGUGGAGGGUCAUUGGAAACUGGAGAACUGGAAUGCAGAAGAGGAGAGUGGAAUUCCACGUGUAGCGGUGAAAUGCGUAGAUAUGUGGAGGAACACCAGUGGCGAAGGCGGCUCUCUGGUCUGUUAUUGACGCUGAGGCGCGAAAGCGUGGGAGCAAACAGGAUU
rnacentral:rRNA from 1 species